rnacentral:tRNA from 1 species
GGGAGUGUCGCGUAGCGGCCAUCGCCGCGGACUGUAAAUCCGCCGUCAUCUGACAUCGCGGGGUUCGAGUCCCGCCACUCCCACCA